ACGCAGCGACGCCGCGUGGGGGGAUGACGGCCUUCGGGUUGUAAACCUCUUUCGACCUUGACGAAGCCUUUCGGGGUGACGGUAGGGGUAGAAGAAGCACCGGCCAACUACGUGCCAGCAGCCGCGGUAAUACGUAGGGUGCGAGCGUUGUCCGGAAUUAUUGGGCGUAAAGAGCUCGUAGGCGGUCUGUCGCGUCGGUCGUGAAAACUUGGGGCUUAACCCUGAGCUUGCGGUCGAUACGGGCAUGACUGGAGUUCGGCAGGGGAGACUGGAAUUCCUGGUGUAGCGGCGAAAUGCGCAGAUAUCAGGAGGAACACCGGUGGCGAAGGCGGGUCUCUGGGCCGAUACUGACGCUGAGGAGCGAAAGCGUGGGGAGCGAACAGGAUUAGAUACCCUGGUAGUCCACGCCGUAAACGGUGGGCGCUAGGUGUGGUGAGACCCUCACCAGG
rnacentral:rRNA from 1 species